rnacentral:rRNA from 1 species
GAUGAACGCUGGCGGCGUGCCUAAUACAUGCAAGUCGAGCGAACAGACGAGGAUCUUGCUCCUCUGACGUUAGCGGCGGACGUGUGAGUAACACGUGGAUAACCUACCUAUAAGACUUGGAUAACUUCGGGAAACCGGAGCUAAUACCGGAUAAUAUAUUGAACCGCAUGGUUCAAUAGUGAAAGACGGUUUUGCUGUCACUUAUAGAUGGAUCCGCGCCGCAUUAGCUAGUUGGUAAGGUAACGGCUUACCAAGGCGACGAUGCGUAGCCGACCUGAGAGGGUGAUAGGCCACACUGGAACUGAGACACGGUCCAGACUCCUACGGGAGGCAGCAGUAGGGAAUCUUCCGCAAUGGGCGAAAGCCUGACGGAGCAACGCCGCGUGAGUGAUGAAGGUCUUCGGAUCGUAAAACUCUGUUAUUAGGGAAGAACAAAUGUGUAAGUAACUAUGCACGUCUUGACGGUAACUAAUCAGAAAGCCACGGCUAACUACGUG